rnacentral:lncRNA from 1 species
AUUAAACUAGGUAGUUUCAUCUAAUCUGAUGAAACGAUAAAGUAUCAUCUUCUUUGCUCAAUCAACUUUCUCUUUAAAGGUUACCUAUUGAUUCUAGAUUACAUCAACUUUUAACUUUAAAGCAUCUAUAUAUACAAUAAAAAGACCUCAAAUAUUCAAGCUCUCUCUCUCUAGAUAACAUACAGAGAUGGCUAGAUAUUACAAUUCAACUUAUUCUGAUUAUCUCCAAUAUUUGUCACUGCCAAUCCACUUCUUCUUCUUCCUAGCUGUACUAUUUCUCUUCUUGAUCAUAACUUGGUACAUAAACUAUGAGUUCUUGUAUGAAGACUUGAUGAAUCAGAUCAAGUUAUCCCUCAUGAUAUUACCAGUGCUACUUCUACUUAUCCUGCACUGGUUGUCUGUCCACAAUCCACAGAGAGUCCCAUUCGCUAUGUCAUUCCCCAAGAAGGAUGCACUUCAUAGGGCCGGAGGGUCGCCAUGGGGAGUGGCUAUUCUGCUUGUGUUCCUUAUGUUCAUGAUCACUCACCGUGCUUCUUUGCAAGAAAGAUGGUUUCCCUUGUUUAGAAGACGACGAUAUUAGACAUGCACAAAAAGAUUGUGCAUUAGCUUGCUUCAACCUCUAAAGUGAUGACUACUUUAAUGUAUUAUGGUCAAAUUGUGUACCUUUGAUAAAAGGAAGUGAUAAUGUGUAAUGAAUCAUUCAAAUAUUCUUAUUGUGAGUCUAUGAAAUUAUUCUAAUUAUCAUGCCAUAUUUAUAGAUUAGGCAUCAAAUUAUUUGAAGAAUUUCAUAAAUUCAAAGCAUUUUGAUUAAAUGCUUGUCCAAUC